rnacentral:rRNA from 1 species
AUGGUGGCGACCGGGAGCUACGACGCCGACGAUGCUGGAACUGGCCAGUUUUUUUGCUGGAACGGGCGACAGGAGGUGCUACGACCGUGGCAGCAAAAUGUUGGAACCAACAGCCAUGGCCUCCAGCAGAUGAGGAACCGGCUUUUUAAAAAGCUUCAACCAUGUACUGGGAAGCUGCAACCGCAUGCACGAGAGCUGCAAGCCGUCUACACCGGAGCUACAACCAGAGGCGCCGGUCGCCGGCGAGGCUGCAAGCACGAGCACUCGGAGUUGUAG